AUUUUUUUCGUAUUAUUAGUUUCUCAUUUUUCAAAUUUUCAUUUUGAUAGAUCUCUGAUGAUAGAUCUCUGAAUAUCUACACAUGAAACUGGUACUUGUUGAUUUUUAGAUAUCUGCUUUGUCUUGCUUUUCAUUUUCAUUUUGGUAGAUCUCUGAAUAUCUACAAAUGCAUUUUUGCUCCAUUUUUCGCAGAUUUGAUUUCAGCACUAUUUUUUGGCAUCUGAUUUUAGUAGAUCUAUGAACAUCUUUGCUCUUGUUCGUAGUCUGUUUUUCGCAUUUGAUUUUUGUAGAUCUAUGAACAUCUUUAUUUUCUUUCGCAUGUAGAUCUAUGAACAUCCACACAAAUUCAUUAUCUUUCGCAAUGUUUGCUACUGAAAUACAUCUUUAUUGAUUUAUACCACUUUUUCAACUUCCUAAGCCUGCAGAGUAAACUUUCUUGUGUAAACACAAUUGAUAUGGGUUACAUUUGCUUUGUUUGAUAUCUUUAUUUUGUUGUAGGUGCUGCUUGUAUGAAUAUGCUUUCUCUCCAAAGCCUUUGGGUGAAGUCAAAUCCACUACCACUGUUGGUCUCAAUCAAGCACUCAUUCUCUUGAUAAAGAUCUGAAUGGUAAUACUUCCACUGAAAGAUUCAGUCUUAAUCUUCUGCGGUCUUGAUCUGCUGCAAAAAUUCAGAAAUAUUAGCUACAGUUUUAGACUUUGUGUGCAAAGUAGAAAAAAGUGUAUAAAUUUGUAUCUUAGUUGUAAUUGAAACUAAUAAUAAACAGCAAAAAAACUAAACAGAAUAAAAAGAGAAAUACCAACAGUAAAUUUAAAAUAGCAUAAAGAAGCAAUAAAGAAACCAAGAUUAUAGAUAAAGAAACCAAAAUUUAAAAUAGCAUAAAGAAGCAAUAAAGAAACCAAGAUUAGAGAGAGAAAGAUUGCAAGCUGAAAAUGUCAGCUGAAAUAAUCUGAGUCCCUAUUUAUAGGAAGAAGCUCUCAUUUAUCAGCAUUAAAUUUGGGCUCCAAAAAUUUGAAAUUUGAAUUUGGGCUGCACUUUUUGGAGCCAAAACAAACAAAUUUCUGCAAGGCCCAUCAGGCAAUAAACAGCAACAUUAUACAGUGGAUAAAAACAUGCCUGCUUUGGCGGGAAAUUUUUUUGGCAAAACUUGUGCUUUAAUAUAAGUAUAGAUUUCUUCUAUUUUAUUUUUCUACUUUCUUUUAAAAAAGGAAAACAAUUAUCAUUUUCUAUGGGUGAGCGUGAGAUUAAGCAUUUCCUGG